rnacentral:rRNA from 1 species
UGGGGAAUAUUGCACAAUGGGCGCAAGCCUGAUGCAGCCAUGCCGCGUGUAUGAAGAAGGCCUUCGGGUUGUAAAGUACUUUCAGCGGGGAGGAAGGCGAUAAGGUUAAUAACCUUGUCGAUUGACGUUACCCGCAGAAGAAGCACCGGCUAACUCCGUGCCAGCAGCCGCGGUAAUACGGAGGGUGCAAGCGUUAAUCGGAAUUACUGGGCGUAACGCGCACGCAGGCGGUCUGUCAAGUCGGAUGUGAAAUCCCCGGGCUCAACCUGGGAACUGCAUUCGAAACUGGCAGGCUAGAGUCUUGUAGAGGGAGGUAGAAUUCCAGGUGUAGCGGUGAAAUGCGUAGAGAUCUGGAGGAAUACCGGUGGCGAAGGCGGCCCCCUGGACAAAGACUGACGCUCAGGUGCGAAAGCGUGGGGAGCAAACA